GAUGAACGCUGGCGGCGUGCCUAAUACAUGCAAGUCGAGCGAACGGACGAGAAGCUUGCUUCUCUGAUGUUAUCGGCGGACGGGUGAGUAACACGUGGAUAACCUACCUAUAAGACUGGGAUAACUUCGGGAAACCGGAUCUACUACCGGAUGAUAUUUUGCACCUCAUGGUUCAAAAGUUAAAGACGGUCUUGCUGUCACUUAUAGCUUGCUCCGCGCUGCAUUAGCUAGUUGGUAAGGUAACGGCUUACCAAGGCAACGAUGCAUAGCCGACCUGAGAGGGUGAUCGGCCACAGUGGAACGGAGACACGGACCAGAAUCCACGGGAGGCAGCAGUAGGGAAUCUUACGCAAUGGGCGAAAGCCUGACGGAGCAACGCCGCGGGAGGGAUGAAGGUCUUCGGAUCGUAAAACUCUGUUAUUAGGGAAGAACAUAUGUGUAAGUAACUGGGAACAUAUUGACGGUACCUAAUCAGAAAGCCACGGCUAACUACGUG
rnacentral:rRNA from 1 species